rnacentral:rRNA from 1 species
UACGUAGGGCGCAAGCGUUAUCCGGAAUUAUUGGGCGUAAAGAGCUCGUAGGCGGCCUGUUGCGUCCGCUGUGAAAGCCCGGGGCUUAACUCCGGGUCUGCAUUCGAUACGGGCAGACUAGAGUUCGGUAGGGGAGUGUGGAAUUCCUGGUGGAGCGGUGAAAUGCGCAGAUAUCAGGAGGAACACCCGUAGCGAAGGCGGCACUCUGGGCCGAUACUGACACUGAGGAGCGAAAGCGUGGGGAGCGAACAGG